rnacentral:rRNA from 1 species
UGGGGAAUAUUGCACAAUGGGGGAAACCCUGAUGCAGCGACGCCGCGUGAGUGAAGAAGUAUUUCGGUACGUAAAGCUCUAUCAGCAGGGAAGAAAAAAAGUCCUUUGGACUUUGGACGGUACCUGACCAAGAAGCCCCGGCUAACUACGUGCCAGCAGCCGCGGUAAUACGUAGGGGGCAAGCGUUAUCCGGAUUUACUGGGUGUAAAGGGAGCGUAGACGGCAGCGCAAGUCUGGAGUGAAAUGCCGGGGCCCAGCCCCGGAACUGCUUUGGAAACUGUGCAGCUCGAGUGCAGGAGAGGUAAGCGGAAUUCCUAGUGUAGCGGUGAAAUGCGUAGAUAUUAGGAGGAAUACCAGUGGCGAAGGCGGCUUACUGGACUGUAACUGACGUUGAGGCUCGAAAGCGUGGGGAGCAAACAGG